rnacentral:rRNA from 1 species
AGCGAACGCUGGCGGCAUGCCUAACACAUGCAAGUCGAACGAGACCUUCGGGUCUAGUGGCGCACGGGUGCGUAACGGGUGGGAACCUGCCCUUAGGUUCGGAAUAACUGCCCGAAAGGGGGGGUAAUACCGGAUAAUGUCUUUGGACCAAAGAUUUAUCGCCUUUGGAUGGGCCCGCGUUGGAUUAGCUAGUUGGUAGGGUAAAAGCCUACCAAGGCGACGAUCCAUAGCUGGUCUGAGAGGAUGAUCAGCCACACUGGGACUGAGACACGGCCCAGACUCCUACGGGAGGCAGCAGUGGGGAAUAUUGGACAAUGGGCGAAAGCCUGAUCCAGCAAUGCCGCGUGAGUGAUGAAGGCCUUAGGGUUGUAAAGCUCUUUUACCCGGGAUGAUAAUGACAGUACCGGGAGAAUAAGCUCCGGCUAACUCCGUG